rnacentral:rRNA from 2 species
AACCUGCCCUUAAGUGGGGGAUAACAUUUGGAAACAGAUGCUAAUACCGCAUAGAUCCAAGAACCGCAUGGUUCUUGGCUGAAAGAUGGCGUAAGCUAUCGCUUUUGGAUGGACCCGCGGCGUAUUAGCUAGUUGGUGAGGUAAUGGCUCACCAAGGCGAUGAUACGUAGCCGAACUGAGAGGUUGAUCGGCCACAUUGGGACUGAGACACGGCCCAAACUCCUACGGGAGGCAGCAGUAGGGAAUCUUCCACAAUGGACGCAAGUCUGAUGGAGCAACGCCGCGUGAGUGAAGAAGGCUUUCGGGUCGUAAAACUCUGUUGUUGGAGAAGAAUGGUCGGCAGAGUAACUGUUGUCGGCGUGACGGUAUCCAACCAGAAAGCCACGGCUAACUACGUGCCAGCAGCCGCGGUAAUACGUAGGUGGCAAGCGUUAUCCGGAUUUAUUGGGCGUAAAGCGAGCGCAGGCGGUUUUUUAAGUCUGAUGUGAAAGCCCUCGGCUUAACCGAGGAAGCGCAUCGGAAACUGGGAAACUUGAGUGCAGAAGAGGACAGUGGAACUCC